AUAUCUGAAUUGGAAAAUUCAAUACCAUUAUUAGUUGUUAAUAUUUUAUAUAAAAUGGUAUGCACUUUUUCCAUAGUAAGCCAUUGCAAUCCAUUAGUAUUUUAACAUUUUUUUUUAAAAAAUGUUAUAAGUUUAUUAUAAGGCCCAUUUGUUUUGUUUAUUCUAGCUGUGGCAAUUUUCAAUUGUCAUAUGGAUAACAGCAAUACGGUGUCCUAAUAAACAGCUGAUGGAAUUUAAUGGAUCAUCCAGACAUACUUGUUGUGAAACACGAUCAAUAUUUUUUUUUUAAUAUUGAUGCAGUGUUCGGAUGUAUUCGAUUGGCAAUGCGAUAGAUUUGGGAUACCUUCGGGACCCGUCUUGAAACACGGACCAAGAAGUUUAACAUAGGCGCAAGUCAUUGGGUAGAUUGUUGAAACCUAAGGGCGCAAUUAAAAUAACUAAUUAUUUAUUUCUGUGUGUUCUGCAUGCAGUAAAUGGAUAAUGUUCAAUGGGAUUACAAGAAAUUAAUUUAAUUAUAAAUUUCUUCUCCAUCCCGGGGCGUUCUAUACGAACAUGAUUUAAGCAA
rnacentral:rRNA from 1 species